rnacentral:rRNA from 1 species
UACAUAGGGGGCAAGCGUUAUCCGGAAUUAUUGGGCGUAAAGGGUGCGUAGGCGGUUAUUUAAGUCUUUGGUGUAAGUGCAGUGCUUAACGCUGUGAUGCUAAAGAAACUGAAUGACUUGAGUUAGAUAGAGGCAAGUGGAAUUCCAUGUGUAGCGGUAAAAUGCGUAAAUAUAUGGAGGAACACCAGUGGCGAAGGCGGCUUGCUGGGUCUAUACUGACGCUGAGGCACGAAAGCGUGGGGAGCAAACAGG